UACAGAGGUCUCAAGCGUUGUUCGGAUUCAUUGGGCGUAAAGGGUGCGUAGGUGGCGCGGUAAGUCGGGUGUGAAAUUUCGGAGCUUAACUCCGAAACUGCAUUCGAUACUGCCGUGCUUGAGGACUGGAGAGGAGACUGGAAUUUACGGUGUAGCGGUGAAAUGCGCAGAUAUCAGGAGGAACACCGGUGGCGAAGGCGGGUCUCUGGGCCGAUGACUGACGCUGGAGGAGCGAAAGCGUGGGGAGCGAACAGG
rnacentral:rRNA from 1 species